UUUUACCAAUGUCCUUUUGCAGUUUUCCAAAGAAAAAAAAACAUAGAAACUAACUUUUAAAUUCAUGAUAUCAGUAAGUAAAGAAAACAAAAACUUCAAUACAUGGGAAUUUUAAAGUCACCUCUUGAAAUUUUUGUUGUAAGUAUCACGAAAUACAGCGACCAUGUAUCCACCAGCAAAAAUUUCAAGAGGUAACUUUAAAAUUCCCAUGUAUUGAAGUUUUUUUUUUCUUUACUAACUGAUAUCAUGAAUUUAAAAGUUAGUUUCUAUGUUUUUUUUUUGGGAAACUGCAAAAGGACAUUGGUAAAAAAA